GGCGGUGGCGGGUCUUACCAUGCAAGUCGAACGAUGAACCACUUCGGUGGGGAUUAGUGGCGAACGGGUGAGUAACACGUGGGCAAUCUGCCCUGCACUCUGGGACAAGCCCUGGAAACGGGGUCUAAUACCGGAUACUGACCAUCGCAGGCAUCUGUGAUGUUCGAAAGCUCCGGCGGUGCAGGAUGAGCCCGCGGCCUAUCAGCUUGUUGGUGAGGUAAUGGCUCACCAAGGCGACGACGGGUAGCCGGCCUGAGAGGGCGACCGGCCACACUGGGACUGAGACACGGCCCAGACUCCUACGGGAGGCAGCAGUGGGGAAUAUUGCACAAUGGGCGAAAGCCUGAUGCAGCGACGCCGCGUGAGGGAUGACGGCCUUCGGGUUGUAAACCUCUUUCAGCAGGGAAGAAGCGAAAGUGACGGUACCUGCAGAAGAAGCGCCGGCUAACUACGUGCCAGCAGCCGCGGUAAUACGUAGGGCGCGAGCGUUGUCCGGAAUUAUUGGGCGUAAAGAGCUCGUAGGCGGCUUGUCACGUCGGUUGUGAAAGCCCGGGGCUUAACCCCGGGUCUGCAGUCGAUACGGGCAGGCUACAGU
rnacentral:rRNA from 1 species